rnacentral:rRNA from 1 species
UACGUAGGUGGCAAGCGUUGUCCGGAUUUAUUGGGUUUAAAGGGUGCGUAGGUGGUCAAUUAAGUCAGUGCUGAAAUAUCCCGGCUUAACCGGGAGGGUGGCAUUGAUACUGAUUGACUUGAGUGGAGUUGAGGUAGGCGGAAUUGACGGUGUAGCGGUGAAAUGCUUAGAUAUCGUCAAGAACGCCGAUAGCGAAGGCAGCUUACCAAGCUCUAACUGACACUGAUGCACGAAAGUGUGGGGAUCAAACAGG